GGAUUUUAUCCUUCUUGCUGGACCCAGAGGAAGCUGAGAAUCGAUCUCUGGAGAGCAGAAGGUUUCUUCAUCUCAGUCACAUUGCAUUAGAGGGAAGAGCUGAGUGGGUGCAAAUUGGUGUGGGU